rnacentral:tRNA from 1 species
GCGAAGGUGGCGGAAUUGGCAGACGCGCUGGUUUCAGGUACCAGUACCGCAAGGUGUAGGGGUUCAAGUCCCCUCCUUCGCACCA